UACGUAGGGUGCAAGCGUUGUCCGGAAUCAUUGGGCGUAAAGCGCGCGUAGGCGGCCCUGUAAGUCCGUUGUGAAAGUCGAAGGCUCAACCUUCGAAAGCCGAUGGAUACUGCAGGGCUAGAGUCCGGAAGAGGCGAGUGGAAUUCCUGGUGUAGCGGUGGAAUGCGCAGAUAUCAGGAGGAACACCAAUAGCGAAGGCAGCUCGCUGGGACGGUACUGACGCUAAGGCGCGAAAGCGUGGGGAGCGAACAGG
rnacentral:rRNA from 1 species